UCUCAGUUCGGAUUGGAGUCUGCAACCCGACUCCAUGAAGCUGGAUUCGCUAGUAAUCGCGCAUCAGCCACGGCGCGGUGAAUACGUUCCCGGGCCUUGUACACACGCCCGUCAAGCCAUGGAAGCCGGGGGUGCCUGAAGUGCGCUGCCGCAAGGAGCGCCCUAGGGUAAAACCGGUGACUGGGGCUAAGUCGUAACAAGGUAGC
rnacentral:rRNA from 1 species